GCGUCGAGAAUGAUAACUUGCGUUAUCCAUAACUACUACUUAAUCAGCCGGAAGAGAUUUUAUCAUUUCACCAAAAUAGUCUUCAAAAACAUCUUCGUGGUACGUGGCACGACUAAAAGGUUAGCAAACCUUCUUUUAAAAAUCCCUCUUCGCUUCCGAUAUGGACGAUGGACGAAAGCUUUGCGAGCACUGGUUAUAUUUUUGUCUUGCCACAUUUUUGGUACUGUAUAACCUUCAUUAAUCCAUUUUUCAUCAAGAUAAAAGAUUUUCUUCUGCUCUGUUCUGUAGCAAACAAUUUCAUCGUUUUCCAGUAAAAGUUCUUUGCGGUUAUGCUUUUCCCAGGCAAAAUCUAUAUUUCUCAAAGUGGUCCAUAAAAGUUUUUUAGUUAUCAACGGAAUACUGGCCAAGCUCCAUUAAAAUCUUAUCUAGGAUUCUAAUACAACAUUUUUAUUAAAAAAAAAUAUACUUACUCAGAUAAAAAAAACUGUACGAAGACAAUAACAACUUGAAUGUUCUGUUACGACUAUGAAUUGUCAACCUACACUGUAGAUAACGCAAUAACAUCUGUAAUAAUAUCCUAAGAUUAUAUACUCGAUAAUAUCGAA